rnacentral:rRNA from 1 species
GAGUUUGAUCGUGGCUCAGAGUGAACGCUGGCGGUAGGCCUAACACAUGCAAGUCGAACGGCAGCACAGAGGAGCUCGCUCCUUGGGUGGCGAGUGGCGGACGGGUGAGGAAUACAUCGGAAUCUACUCUGUCGUGGGGGAUAACGUAGGGAAACUUACGCUAAUACCGCAUACGACCUACGGGUGAAAGCAGGGGAUCUUCGGACCUUGCGCGAUUGAAUGAGCCGAUGUCGGAUUAGCUAGUUGGCGGGUAAAGGCCCACCAAGGCGACGAUCCGUAGCUGGUCUGAGAGGAUGAUCAGCCACACUGGAACUGAGACACGGUCCAGACUCCUACGGGAGGCAGCAGUGGGGAAUAUUGGACAAUGGGCGCAAGCCUGAUCCAGCCAUACCGCGU